UAAGCAAUGCAUAAAAUACCUUUAAUUGAGAACCCCUAAUGUACUUUGUGUCUUUGAUACUAACGUUCCAUAUUGUACAAGCUACGUUAAUUAUCACUAUUUUUUACUUUUUGAAUAUUUUAUUUUUAUUUUUUAUAUAGAGCGCCACAGUUACAUUUGUUGAUGGUUAUUAUUGUUUCUAUCCGGACUGAAAAUCAUGUAACUUCACCGUUUUGUAGCUCCUGUUACUAAGCAACCGAUUGAAACAUCAGAGGGAAGCAACAUGGCUAAAUUCGUGCUGACUGAUGGUAUCAUGACUCUCCCCCUGAUGAGAUAAUCUUGCUUGGAAUCCUCAGUGAAGGAAAAAAUGCAAACAAACCUUGCCAUACAGACAGUAUGGAAUUCCAGAGGAUCUUGUCUUCUCCAUGCCUGUAACAUUUCAUAAUGGGAUGUGGAAGGUAGUUUCACAGUGGUGACAGGGGAGAAAGUGUUUGCACUGAAAAAAACACUGCAGUUGCUUCUUGAAGUCACUGAGAAGAUAUUAAGACGUUAUGUAAUUGUAUUGGAAUUACAUAGACUAUAAUAAGAUAUUAAUAAAAAUCAGUGUUUUUUGCCAACAAGUUUUUUUGAUGUGAACAUGAUGUGAAAUAAAUAUUUUUAA